GACGAACGCUGGCGGCGUGCCUAAUACAUGCAAGUCGAACGCAGUGGGGACGGGUGAGUAACACGUGGGUAACCUCCCAUCAGAGGGGAUAACACUUGGAAACAGGUGCUAAACCGAUACUGAUGGAUGGACCCGUGGUGCAUUAGCUAGUUGGUGAGGUAACGGCUCACCAAGGCCACGAUGCAGAGCUGGCCUGGGCGGGUGAUCGGCCACACUGGGACUGAGAGACGGCCCAGACUCCUACGGCAGGCAGCAGUAGGGAAUCUGCGGCAAAGGACGAAAGUCUGACCGAGCAACGCCGCGUGAGUGAAGAAGGUUUUCGGAGCGUAAAACUCUUUUGUUAGAGAAGCGGUAUCUAGACAGAAAGCCACGGCUAACUACGUGCCAGCAGCCGCGGUAAUUC
rnacentral:rRNA from 1 species